UACGGGGGGGGCAAGCGUUGUUCGGAAUUACUGGGCGUAAAGGGCUCGUAGGUGGCCAACUAAGUCAGACGUGAAAUCCCUCAGCUUAACUGGGGAACUGCGUCUGAUACUGGAUGGCUUGAGUUUGAGAGAGGGAUGCGGAAUUCCAGGUGUAGCGGUGAAAUGCGUAGAUAUCUGGAGGAACACCGGUGGCGAAGGCGGCAUCCUGGACCAACACUGACACUGAGGAGCGAAAGCCAGGGGAGCAAACGGG
rnacentral:rRNA from 1 species